AGGACGAACGCUGGCGGUGUGCUUCACACAUGCAAGUCGAACGGGGUAGCAAUACCCAGUGGCGGACGGGUGAGUAACGCGUAGAAAUCUGCCUUGAGAUGGGGGAUAACAGUCCGAAAGGAUUGCUAAUACCGCAUAUGUAUGUAUCCGGACACGGGUGUAUAUGAAAGGAGUAAUCCGUCUUAAGAUGAGUCUGCGUCCGAUUAGCUAGUUGGUAGGGUAAAGGCCUACCAAGGCGACGAUCGGUAGCUGGUCUGAGAGGAUGAUCAGCCACAAUGGGACUGAGACACGGCCCAUACUCCUACGGGAGGCAGCAGUGGGGAAUUUUGCGCAAUGGGGGAAACCCUGACGCAGCAACGCCGCGUGGAGGAUGAAAUAUCUUGGUAUGUAAACUCCUUUCGAUGGGGAAGAUUAUGACGGUACCCAUAGAAGAAGCCCGGCUAACUUCGUGCCAGCAGCCGC
rnacentral:rRNA from 1 species